rnacentral:lncRNA from 1 species
AUGCAAAAGAUGGGCUCGAUAAAGGACAGAAAUGGUCUGGACCUAACAGAAGCAGAAGAUAUUAAGAAGAGGUGGCAAGAAUACAUGGAAGAACUGUGCAAAAAAGAUCUUCAUGACCCAGAUAAUCAUGAUGAUGUGAUCACUAAUCUAGAGCCAGACAUCUUGGAAAGUGAAGUCAAGUGGGCCUUAGAAAGCAUCACUAUGAACAAAGCUAGUGGAGGUGAUGGAAUUCCAGUUGAGGUGUUUCAAAUCCUGAAAGAUGAUGCUGUGCAAGUGCUGCACUCAAUAUGCCAGCAAGUUUGGAAAACUCAGCAGUGGCCACAGGACUGGAAAAGGUCAGUUUUCAUUCCAAUCCCAAACAAAGGCAAUGCCAAAGAGUGCUCAAACUACCACACAAUUGCGCUCAUCUCACAUGCUAGUAAAGUAAUGCUCAAAAUUCUCCAAGCCAGGCUUCAGCAAUACGUGAACCGUGAACUCCCUGAUGUUCAAGCUGGCUUUAGAAAAGGCAGAGGAACCAGAGAUCAAAUUACCAACAUCUGCUGGAUCAUGGAAAAAGCAAGAGAGUUCCAGAAAAACAUCUAUUUCUGCUUUAUUGACUAUGCUAAAGCCUUUGACUGUGUGGAUCACAAUAAACUGUGGAAAAUUCUGAAAGAGCUGGGAAUACCAGACCACCUAACCUACCUCUUGAGGAAUCUGUAUGCAGGUCAGGAAGCAACAGUUAGAACUGGACAUGGAACAACAGACUGGUUCCAAAUAGGAAAAGGAGUAUGUCAAGGCUGUAUAUUGUCAUCCUGCUUAUUUAACUUCUAUGCAGAGUACAUCAUGAGAAAUGCUGGACUGGAAGAAACACAAGCUGGAAUCAAGAUUGCCAGGAGAAAUAUCAAUAACCUCAGAUAUGCAGAUGACACCACCCUUAGGGCAGAAAGUGAAGAGGAACUAAAAAGCCUCAUGAUGAAAGUGAAAGAGGAGAGUGAAAAAGUUGGCUUGAAGCUCAACAUUCAGAAAACAAAGAUCAUGGCAUCUGGUCCCAUCACUUCAUGGGAAAGAGAUGGGGAAACAGUAGAAACAGUGUCGGACUUUAUUUUUUUGGGCUCCAAAAUCACUGCAGAUGGUGACUGCAGCCAUGAAAUUAAAAGACACUUACUCCUUGGAAGAAAAGUUAUGACCAACCUAGAUAGUAUAUUCAAAAGCAGAGACAUUACUUUACCGACUAAGUUCCAUCUAGCCAAGGCUAUGGUUUUUCCUGUGGUCAUGUAUGGAUGUGAGAGUUGGACUGUGAAGAAGGCUGAGCACUGA